GAGUUCAAACCGGUGUAAGCCAGGUCGGUUUCUAUCUUUAAUUAAUUCAAAUAUUUUAGUACGAAAGGACCAAAUAUUUAAUAUAUUAAUAUUUUAAUUUGAAUAUUA
rnacentral:rRNA from 2 species